UGCAGGUGCUACCGGGUGGGCUGUUGCUCGGCCUGCUGCCCCUGCUGCUGCGGCUGCUGUGGGGGCUGCUGCAGUACCCCCGUGGUCUGCUGCUGCCGCCGCUCCUGUCGCUCCUGUGGCUCGUGUGGCUGCGGCUCGUGUGGCUGCGGCUCGUGUGGCUGCGGCGGUGGGAAGGGCUGUUGCCAGCAGAAGUGCUGUUGCCAGCAGAAGAGCUGUUGCAAGAAGCAGUGUUGCUGCUAGACGGCCGGCCGGCCUCUGGGAAGAUGCUGCAGCCCAAAGCCUGACACAUUGAAUACUUCGGCCAGUUGGAAGUCAGACACCUGUGUCCCGCACAGCAAUGAAGGCAGCUGCUGACACCAUCAGGGCCACAGUUUUGGCCGGAUUCCCUCAGCCUCAGGCCCAGGACUGUCGUGUGUAACUGAAGAGACACAGUGAGUCCCCUGAAGCAGAAGAGUUCAGAGCACCUCUCUCCUUGGAUAGACAGCACAAGCAGGCAGAGUGGCAGGCAGAGGGAGAGGGAGA